rnacentral:rRNA from 1 species
GACGAACGCUGGCGGCGUGCUUAACACAUGCAAGUCGAGCGAGGCCCGCCCUUCGGGGCGGUGUCCUAGCGGCGAACGGGUGAGUAACACGUGGGCAACCUGCCCUCAGCUCUGGGAUAACUCCGGGAAACCGGUGCUAAUACCGGAUACGACCUGUGACGACAUCGUCACUGGUGGAAAGUUUUUCGGCUGAGGAUGGGCCCGCGGCCUAUCAGCUAGUUGGUGGGGUCAAGGCCUACCAAGGCGACGACGGGUAGCCGGCCUGAGAGGGCGAUCGGCCACACUGGGACUGAGACACGGCCCAGACUCCUACGGGAGGCAGCAGUGGGGAAUCUUGCGCAAUGGGCGAAAGCCUGACGCAGCGACGCCGCGUGAGGGAUGAAGGCCUUCGGGUUGUAAACCUCUUUCAGCUCCGACGAAGCGAAAGUGACGGUAGGAGCAGAAGAAGCACCGGCCAACUACGUGCCAGCAGCCGCCGUA